rnacentral:rRNA from 1 species
GACGAACGCUGGCGGCGUGCUUAACACAUGCAAGUCGAACGGAAAGGCCCUGCUUUUGUGGGGUGCUCGAGUGGCGAACGGGUGAGUAACACGUGAGUAACCUGCCCUUGACUUUGGGAUAACUUCAGGAAACUGGGGCUAAUACCGGAUAGGAGCUCCUGCUGCAUGGUGGGGGUUGGAAAGUUUCGGCGGUUGGGGAUGGACUCUCGGCUUAUCAGCUUGUUGGUGGGGUAGUGGCUUACCAAGGCUUUGACGGGUAGCCGGCCUGUGAGGGUGACCGGCCACAUUGGGACUGAGAUACGGCCCAGACUCCUACGGGAGGCAGCAGUGGGGAAUAUUGCACAAUGGGCGGAAGCCUGAUGCAGCAACGCCGCGUGCGGGAUGACGGCCUUCGGGUUGUAAACCGCUUUCGCCUGUGACGAAGCGUGAGUGACGGUAAUGGGUAAAGAAGCACCGGCUAACUACGUG